CCAAUACUCCCUCCUUUCAACAAAGAACGUUUCAAGUUUGUCAAAAUUUGGAUGUAUCUAGACAUGACUCUUAGUGUAUAGAUGCAUUCAAAUUUAGUCAAAGUUGAGACGUAUUUUUUGUUGGACGGAGGAAGGAAGCU
rnacentral:pre_miRNA from 1 species